UACAGAGGGUGCGAGCGUUGUCCGGAAUCACUGGGCGUAAAGGGCGCGUAGGCGGUCUGCUAAGCGUGUGGUGAAAGCUCGGGGCUCAACCCCGAGUCGGCCGUGCGAACUGGUGGACUGGAGCAUGUCAGAGGCAGGCGGAAUUCCGGGUGUAGCGGUGGAAUGCGUAGAGAUCCGGAAGAACACCGGUGGCGAAGGCGGCCUGCUGGGACAUUGCUGACGCUGAGGCGCGAAAGCGUGGGGAGCAAACAGG
rnacentral:rRNA from 1 species